rnacentral:rRNA from 1 species
UACGUAGGGUGCGAGCGUUGUCCGGAAUUAUUGGGCGUAAAGAGCUCGUAGGCGGUUUGUUGCGUCGGCCGUGAAAACCUGCAGCUUAACUGUGGGCCUGCGGCCGAUACGGGCAGACUAGAGUUCGGCAGGGGAGACUGGAAUUCCUGGUGUAGCGGUGAAAUGCGCAGAUAUCAGGAGGAACACCGGUGGCGAAGGCGGGUCCCUGGGCCGAUACUGACGCUGAGGAGCGAAAGCGUGGGGAGCGAACAGG